UUUAUUAAAUUUUUUUUUUCUUUUUUUACCUCCUCAUCUUAUUUAGGCAUACACUUAUGCCUUGCACCAAGGCCCCAAGACCCCUCUAUGCUUUACUAUGCCUUCUGCCUUUAACAACUAUGGGCUUCUCACAUUGAUGCAUCCAACCAAAAACUUAAGUUGAGGAAUGUACUAUAUCUCUACCUACUUCUUGACUUCAUUAUCCAUUAUGAAAAAUAUACAACAUAAAGAAACCUUCUAAC
rnacentral:misc_RNA from 1 species